UACGUAGGGUGCGAGCGUUGUCCGGAUUUACUGGGCGUAAAGGGAGCGUAGGCGGACUUUUAAGUGAGAUGUGAAAUACCCGGGCUCAACUUGGGUGCUGCAUUUCAAACUGGAAGUCUAGAGUGCAGGAGAGGAGAAUGGAAUUCCUAGUGUAGCGGUGAAAUGCGUAGAUAUUAGGAGGAACACCAGUUGCGAAGGCGGCUCUCUGGACUGUAACUGACACUGAGGCACGAAAGCGUGGGGAGCAAACAGGAUUAGAUACCCU
rnacentral:rRNA from 1 species